GACGGAGGGUGCUAGCGUUGUUCGGAAUCACUGGGCGUAAAGGGCGCGUAGGCGGCCUUGCAAGUCGGUUGGUGAAAGCCCGGGGCUCAACCCCGGAGGUGCGGCCGAGACUGCAGGGCUGGAGGCCGGAAGAGGAGGGUGGAAUACCCAGUGUAGAGGUGAAAUUCGUAGAUAUCGUAAGGAAGACCAGUGGCGAAGGCGGGUCUCUGGACAGUUCCUGACGCUGAGGCACGAAGGCCAGGGGAGCAAACGGG
rnacentral:rRNA from 1 species